UACGGGGGGGGCAAGCGUUGUUCGGAAUUACUGGGCGUAAAGGGCUCGUAGGUGGCCAACUAAGUCAGACGUGAAAUCCCUCGGCUUAACCGGGGAACUGCGUCUGAUACUGGAUGACUUGAGUGCAGAAGAGGAAAGUGGAAUUCCAAGUGUAGCGGUGAAAUGCGUAGAGAUUUGGAGGAACACCAGUGGCGAAGGCGACUUUCUGGUCUGUAACUGACGCUGAGGCGCGAAAGCGUGGGGAGCAAACGGG
rnacentral:rRNA from 1 species